GGAAGAAACGCCAUAAUCAUCUUUUGAUGAAGGAAAUUGCUGUGUGUCAGAGUGGAAACCUUGAGAUAAGUCCUCUCUCUGAAGUGAUAAAGACUUAUGUUUGUCAUCCAACUGAUGCAACCUUUGGCUUUCUCCAUUUUCAAGUGCCAAGAUUCUUUCUGAAGAGAACUGACAAGAAAAUGCAGCACUAUUUCCUAUUGAAGAAGCCAUUAGGUCAGGAAAGCCAGGGAACUUCUGUUUUUCCGUUAUGUUUUUCAAACCUUCAUCGAACUGGUCUCUUUUUAAGAAAUUUGCA
rnacentral:misc_RNA from 1 species